rnacentral:rRNA from 1 species
ACAUUUAGUUGGGCACUCUAAUGAGACUGCCGGUGACAAACCGGAGGAAGGUGGGGAUGACGUCAAGUCCUCAUGGCCCUUAUAGGUGGGGCUACACACGUCAUACAAUGGCUGGUACAAAGGGUUGCCAACCCGCGAGGGGGAGCUAAUCCCAUAAAACCAGUCGUAGUCCGGAUCGCAGUCUGCAACUCGACUGCGUGAAGUCGGAAUCGCUAGUAAUCGUGGAUCAGAAUGUCACGGUGAAUACGUUCCCGGGUCUU